GGAGGAAGAGCUCAGUGGUAGAGUGCCUGCUUAGCAUGCAUGAGGUGCUGGGUUCAAUCCUCAACACCUCCA
rnacentral:tRNA from 1 species